rnacentral:rRNA from 1 species
GAUGAACGCUGGGGGCUGCCCUAAUACAGCCAGUUGGAGCGACGGAACGGAAGCUUUCCUCCUCGGUGUUUGCGGCGGGAGGGGUGGUUAACCGUUGAUAACCUACCUAUAAGACCGGGAUAACCUUGGGAAACCGGGGCUAAUUCCGGAUAAUAUUUUUAACCGCAUGGUUUAAAAGUUAAAGACCGUCUUUCCGUCACCUAUUGAUUGAUCCGCGCUGCAUUAGCUAGUUGGUAAGGUAACGGCUUACCAAGGCAACGAUGCAUAGCCGACCUGAGAGGGUGAUCGGCCACACUGGAACUGAGACACGGUCCAGACUCCUACGGGGGGCAGCAGUAGGGAAUCUUCCGCAAUGGGCGAAAGCCUGACGGAGCAACGCCGCGUGAGUGAUGAAGGUCUUCGGAUCGUAAAACUCUGUUAUUAGGGAAGAACAUAUGUGUAAGUAACUGUGCACAUCUUGACGGUACCUAAUCAGAAAGCCACGGCUAACUACGUG